rnacentral:rRNA from 1 species
UUUCUGGAAACAGAGAAGUGCUUUAGCAAUAAAGAACCCGGUGACAGGUGCUGCAUGGCUGUCGUCAGCUCGUGUCGUGAGAUGUUGGUUAAGUCCCGCAACGAGCGCAACCCUCGCCUUUAGUUGCCAGCAUUCAGUUGGGCACUCUAGAGGGACUGCCGGUGUCAAACCGGAGGAAGGUGGGGAUGACGUCAAGUCCUCAUGGCCUUUAUGUCUAGGGCUACACACGUACUACGAUGGCCGGUACAAAGGGCAGCCACUCAGCGAUGAGGCGCUAAUCCCAUAAAGCCGGUCUCAGUCCGGAUCGCAGUCUGCAACUCGACUGCGUGAAGUUGGAAUCGCUAGUAAUCGUAGAUCAGCAUGCUACGGUGAAUACGUUCCCGGGCCUU